GGUGAACGCUGGCGGCGUGCUUACGACAUGCAAGUCGAACGCAGUCUUCGGACUGAGUGGCGCACGGGUGAGUAACACGUAACUGACCUACCCCCAAGUCGCGGAUAACUGGCCGAAAGGUCAACUAAUACGUGAUGUGAUGUCCCCUUUCUGGGGGGCCAUUAAAGGUUUACUGCUUGGGGAUGGGGUUGCGUUCCAUCAGCUAGUUGUCGGGGUAAAGGCCCACCAAGGCAACGACGGAUAGCCGGCCUGAGAGGGUGGCCGGCCACAGGGGCACUGAGACACGGGUCCCACUCCUACGGGAGGCAGCAGUUAGGAAUCUUCCACAAUGGGCGAAAGCCUGAUGGAGCGACGCCGCGUGAGGGAUGAAGGUUCUCGGAUCGUAAACCUCUGAAUCAGGGACGAAAGACGCGUAAGCGGGAUGACGGUACCUGAGUAAUAGCACCGGCUAGCUCCGUGCCAGCCGCCGCAGUAA
rnacentral:rRNA from 1 species